rnacentral:lncRNA from 1 species
AAAGCCUUACAAGUUCCACCUACCAUCAUACAACAUGUCCCUCAAGCAUAUAUCUGAAUCACUAAUGUUAACAAAGAAAAUGAUAUAAGUAUUACAAAAACUUGGAAAAAACGAAAUACACGAAAGUGUAAUUCAGUGCAUUUGCUACCUAUGAUUUUCGUCAAAACUGGUAAAUAACUUCUCCUUGCUUUUGUUAAAAUGAGACACUUUAACAUUCUUGGCUUUCGUGUGCGACAUGCUUCGUAAUAUAUAGUAUCUCUGUUAACUAAUGAAACCAACUGAUCGAGAAAACGAGUU